rnacentral:tRNA from 1 species
AAGAAAGUGACAGAGUGGCUAUGUGGCUGGCUUGAAACCAGUUAAUGGGGGUUCAACUCCUCCCUUUCUCG